rnacentral:rRNA from 1 species
GAUGAACGCUGGCGGCGUGCCUAAUACAUGCAAGUCGAACGAACAGACCACGACCUUGCUCCUCUGGCGUGAGCGGCGGACGGGUGAGCACCGCGUAGAUAACCUACCUAUACGCCUGGGAUAACUUCGGGAAACCGGAGCUAAUACCGGAUAAUAUACUGAACCAAAGGGUAAAAUAGCGAGAGACGGUUUUCCUGUCACUUUUAGAUGUCUCCGCGACGCCUUAGCUGGAGGGUAAGGUAGCGGCUUUCCAAGGCAACGGUGCGUAGCCGACCUGAGAGGGUGGUCGGCCACACUGGAGCUGAGACACAUGCCAGACUCCUGCGGGGGGAAGCAGUAGGGAAUCUUCCGGGAUGGAGGAGUGCCUGACAGAGCAACGUCGCGUUAAUGAUGAAGGUCUUCGGAUCGGUGAGAUCUGAAAUUAGUGAAGAACAAAAGUGUAAGUAACUAGGCCCGUCUUGACGGUACCUACACAAGAAGCCCCGGCUAACUUCGUG